rnacentral:rRNA from 1 species
CGGACGGGUGAGUAACGCGUAAAGAACUUGCCCUUUAGACUGGGAUAACAGAGGGAAACUUCUGAUAAUACUGGAUAAGUUAGUAUAUCGCAUGAUAUGCAAAUGAAAGCUACGGCACUAAAGGAGAGCUUUGCGUCCUAUUAGCUAGUUGGUAAGGUAAGAGCUUACCAAGGCGAUGAUAGGUAGCCGGCCUGAGAGGGUGGACGGCCACAUUGGGACUGAGAUACGGCCCAGACUCCUACGGGAGGCAGCAGGU